rnacentral:lncRNA from 13 species
AUCUGGAGGAGCAGUCCACUUUGGAGUUCCAGGAGAAAAAUGCACUGGAUGACUCUGCAGACCUUUUGUACGAAGUGGAGCUGGAGAGCGAGAUGCUACAGUGUGUGGAGGAAGUGGAGAGGUUGACUCAACAGAAACAACCCCAACCUGAGGAAAUGCCCUCUGGCCCUGGCAAUGAGGAGGAUGACAUAGAGGAGCUGGAGGAAGAAGAAGAAUUUGAUCCAUCUCUUCCAGAGCCACUCCCUGAACAAAUCAAAUGUCUAAAGAUGUUUUUUGGACAUAGUCCCUUAAAGCCAGUACAAUGGAAAGUAAUUCACUCUGUUCUGAAGGAGAGGCGAGAUAACCUUGUUGUCAUGGCAACAGGGUAUGGGAAAAGCCUGUGCUUCCAGUUUCCCCCAGUGUACUGUGUUGGCGUCAGCAUUGUUAUCUGUCCUCUCAUCGCUCUCAUGGAGGACCAAGUGCUCCAGCUCGAAAUGUCCAACAUUCCAGCUUGUUUUCUUGGCUCUGCUCAGACCAAAAAUGUUUUAGCCGGCUUGAAACAGGGGCAAUACAGAGUUGUAUACAUGACCCCAGAAUACUGCUCAGGCAAUGUAUCUCUACUCGAACAGCUCGAUAGAAGUAUAGGAAUCUCUUUGAUAGCGGUGGAUGAGGCUCAUUGUAUCUCUGAGUGGGGCCAUGACUUCAGAGGUGCAUACAGGAGUCUGGGAAACCUGAAGAGAAGUCUACCUAACGUUCCCAUCGUGGCGCUGACUGCCACUGCAAGCCCAUCCAUCAGGGAGGACAUAGUGAAGAGUCUGAACCUGGAGCAACCCAUCGUCACCUGCACCUCCUUCGACCGGCCCAACCUCUACCUGGACGUCAAGCGCAAGUCUGGGGGCGUGUUUCAGGACCUGAAUGGCUUCCUGAAGAAGACCACUCGGGGGGAUUAUGAGUUUGAAGGGUCCUCUAUUGUGUACUGCCCCUCGAGGAAAGAGGCUGAGCGUGUGACCUCCACCCUGACCUCGCUGGGUGUCACGUGUGGUGUAUACCAUGCUGGUCUGGGCAUCAAGCAGAGGAGGGAGACCCAGCAUCGCUUCAUGAGGGACGAAAUCCAGUGUAUUGUGGCUACAGUUGCUUUUGGAAUGGGGAUCAAUAAGGCCGACAUCAGGAAGGUGAUCCAUUAUGGAGCCCCUAAGGAGAUGGAAUCUUACUACCAGGAGAUUGGACGUGCUGGGAGAGACGGACUUCCAAGUGCCUGCCACGUCCUGUGGGCACCAGCAGAUCUAAAAUUAAACAGGUUUCUCAUCAACCAGCUCAAAAUGAUGGGCAAAAUGGACUUGUAUCUCAACUCAUCCAAGUGCAGAAGGAAGCUGAUCCUCUCCCACUUUGAAGACAAACAGCUUCGAAAGGUGACCUCGGGCAUCAUGGGAACUGACCAGUGCUGUGACAACUGCCGAUCUGGGGCGGUGAACAGAGUCGGUGUAAAUGACACAGUGGACGGUGGGCGUCAGGAUUACGGUGUGUUGGCAUUCCAGCUGAUGGGAGCCGUCAGUGCUAUGGGGGAGCGAUUCGGCUCCUCAGCCCCCAUCCUGUUCCUCCGUGGAUCAUACUCUCAAAGGGUUCCUGAGAAGUACCGGUGCCACCCUCUGUUUGGAGCUGGGAAGAGUGUCUCUGAGCCCUGCUGGAAAGCCCUGGCACGGGAGCUGGUGAUUGAGGAAUACCUGAAGGAAGCCACCGGCACUAGCAAGUUCUGUGUCCUCUGUAAAAUCACCCCCAAGGUACGACAUAACAUAUCACAACAACACAACAUAUAUCACGACCAUAAUAUAUUACAACAUAACACUACAUACAGUGCAUUUGGAAAGUAUUCAGACCCCUUCCCCUUUUUCCAUAUUUUGUUACAUUACAGCCUUAUUCCAAAAUGGAUUAAAACAUAUUUUUCUCUCAAUCUACACACAAUACCCCAUUUUGACAGUGAAAACAGGUUUUUAGACAUUUUUACGGCGUUGUACGCCAAGCUGGUUGCUGAAAGACAGAAACUGGCCAGUGAGAAGGACAUCCCACCAGCCAUACUGGCCACCAACAAAAUCCUCCUGGAAAUGGCCAAGAUGAGGCCGUGCACUGUGUCCAGUCUGAAGCAGGUGGAUGGUGUUUCUGAGGCAAAGUCCAGCAUGCUUAUACCCCUCCUCAAAACCAUAGCAAGUUUCUGUGAGCUUCACAACUUGAAGGUAAGUCCAGAGAGCGUUAGAGGGGCGGUGACUGGGAGGUCCUCUCUACCUAACAGUAUUGCCAUCACCUACAGACUGUUCCAGGAGGAGGGCAAGAGCAUGGUUAGAGAGCCCUAUCGUAUCCUUUUCACAAUGUCAUACCAUUAA